AAAUCCAGUAAAGGAUGGAAGGAUUAUUAAGGGUGAUGGUUGUUAGGAAGGGAGAGUAGAUCUAGACUGUAGGGAUUUUCUCUGUUGCUGUAUGGAGAUUAUAGGAGACCAAAUUUAAUCUAUAGCCUUAGUAAAGUCUUUUGCUUAUAUAAAUUCCCAAUUGAAUCAUUCUUCCUUUGGAUAUAUUUUUAUUCAAAACAUUUGAUGAAGCUUUCUGGCAAAUUUUAAGCAGCAGAUGCCCUAUGAAGAGUUCUGUGUGAUCAUUCAAACUACAAAGAGAUUGAACACGGACAUCAAAAUCCAAAUGGUUAUGUAGACCACCAAAAUAUGGUGAUCUAUGAGCUAGUGAAGGUUUCGUCUGGCAGUGCCACAGCUCAUCUAAGCAAAGACUAAGCRGGAGAGAGUUGCAGAACACUGAGCCUAAACAAAUGGAGAAUCUCAUCUCUGACAGACUGGUUCAAGUUAAACCAGCUUAUUUUGCACUGGAGCAGACUAUGAGCAUUCACAAGAUAUGUCACUGUGAUUCAGAUGAAAGGAGACAUCCCCAUCUGUCCCUGGGAACCGAGACCCUAUGUGAACUAAUAGCACCACCCCGAGGUGUGUGCUUCUCUGUGAAGGCCUCGCGGGAAGAGGGGACGUUGAGUUGUCCAGGGUGAAGGUCUUCAUUCCCUAACCUGACCCCAGAGGCAGGCUCAGAUCUCAGCUCGACAUGGGCACGUAGGAGCAGCUCGGCUUUACUGCUGGGAAGCAGCCACGCCGGGAGGGAGGAGGAGCUGGCGGCGCCCAGCUGCAGUGCUCGGUCCAGAUAACACCCGUGCUGGCAAAGGGCAGACCAGCAGAGCCCGUGGAAGCUCAGUUCACAUGUGGUAUAAACCAGCACGCUAUGUACACUGGCCAGCCCAGCGAGGACAUGCAGUAUCAAGGCUGCUUUGUGUUUGCACGAGGCAGGGUUUGGGUGAAAUGCAUUACUGGGGAUCAAAAUUCAGUCUUCUCUCUGCCAAACGUAGGGCUGUUAUUUAAUACUAGCGGCUUUUCAGCUGUGUCUCCAUAUUGCAUUUAGUGUUACAUAACGCAGACAAUGCUAUUCGAUAACCACUGAAGAUGAUAGAACAAGAUAAGAGUGUGAGUGGUACUGCUAUUACAGCUAGCUUAAGUUAACUUAGUUCUGGUGAAAAUAAAUAGGAUUUAUUGGAACA
rnacentral:lncRNA from 1 species